AAUGGGGGCAACCCUGAUCCAGCCAUGCCGCGUGAGUGAAGAAGGCCUUCGGGUUGUAAAGCUCUUUCGGCCGGGAAGAAAUCGCAUGGGUGAAUACCCUGUGUGGAUGACGGUACCGGAACAAGAAGCACCGGCUAACUACGUGCCAACAGCCGCGGUAAUACGUAGGGUGCGAGCGUUAAUCGGAAUUACUGGGCGUAAAGCGUGCGCAGGCGGUUUGGGAAGACAGGCGUGAAAGCCCCGGGCUUAACCUGGGAACUGCGCUUGUGACUGCCAGGCUAGAGUACGGAAGAGGGGGGUGGAAUUCCACGUGUAGCAGUGAAAUGCGUAGAGAUAUGGAAGAACAUCGAUGGCGAAGGCAGCCCCCUGGGUUAACACUGACGCUCAUGCACGAAAGCGUGGGGAGCAAA
rnacentral:rRNA from 1 species